rnacentral:rRNA from 1 species
GGCCUACGGGGGCAGCAGUCGGGAAUAUUGCGCAAUGGAGGAAACUCUGACGCAGUGACGCCGCGUGCAGGAAGAAGGUUUUCGGAUUGUAAACUGCUUUUGUCAGGGACGAAGCAAGUGACGGUACCUGACGAAUAAGCCACGGCUAACUACGUGCCAGCAGCCGCGGUAAUACGUAGGUGGCAAGCGUUAUCCGGAUUUACUGGGUGUAAAGGGCGUGUAGGCGGGACUGCAAGUCAGAUGUGAAAACCACGGGCUCAACCUGUGGCCUGCAUUUGAAACUGUAGUUCUUGAGCACUGGAGAG